GGAAACGGACUUUUCGAGCUCGGCUCGACUCUCCCACCCUUUGUGAACGUACCUCUGUUGCUUUGGCGGCUCCGGCCGCCAAAGGACCUUCAAACUCCAGUCAGUAAACGCAGACGUCUGAUAAACAAGUUAAUAAACUAAAACUUUCAACAACGGAUCUCUUGGUUCUGGCAUCGAUGAAGAACGCAGCGAAAUGCGAUAAGUAAUGUGAAUUGCAGAAUUCAGUGAAUCAUCGAAUCUUUGAACGCACAUUGCGCCCCUUGGUAUUCCGGGGGGCAUGCCUGUUCGAGCGUCAUUACAACCCUCAAGCUCUGCUUGGAAUUGGGCACCGUCCUCACUGCGGACGCGCCUCAAAGACCUCGGCGGUGGCUGUUCAGCCCUCAAGCGUAGUAGAAUACACCUCGCUUUGGAGCGGUUGGCGUCGCCCGCCGGACGAACCUUCUGAACUUUUCUCAAGGUUGACCUCGGAUCAGGUAGGGAUACCCGCUGAACUUAAGCAUAUCAAAAGCCGGAGGAA
rnacentral:rRNA from 1 species